rnacentral:rRNA from 1 species
UACGGAGGGGGCGAGCGUUAUUCGGAAUUAUUGGGCGUAAAGGGCGCGUAGGCGGCCCGGUAAGUCAAAGGUGAAAUCCCUCGGCUCAACUGAGGAACUGCCUUUGAAACUGUCGGGCUUGAGGCCGGGAGAGGGUAGUGGAAUUCCCAGUGUAGCGGUGAAAUGCGUAGAUAUUGGGAGGAACACCAGUGGCGAAGGCGGCUACCUGGACCGGUUCUGACGCUGAUGCGCGAAAGCGUGGGUAGCAAACAGG